GACGAACGCUGGCGGCGUGCUUAACACAUGCAAGUCGAACGGUGAUGCUCCAGCUUGCUGGCGUGGAUCAGUGGCGAACGGGUGAGUAACACAUGAGCAACCUGCCCCAGACUCUGGAAUAAGCGCUGGAAACGGCGUCUAAUACUGGAUACGAAACUGGCCCGCAUGGGCAUGGUUUGGAAAGUUUUUCGGUUUGGGAUGGGCUCGCGGCCUAUCAGCUUGUUGGUGAGGUAAUGGCUCACCAAGGCGACGACGGGUAGCCGGCCUGAGAGGGCGACCGGCCACACUGGGACUGAGACACGGCCCAGACUCCUACGGGAGGCAGCAGUGGGGAAUAUUGCACAAUGGGCGAAAGCCUGAUGCAGCGACGCCGCGUGAGGGAUGACGGCCUUCGGGUUGUAAACCUCUUUCAGCAGGGAAGAAGCGAAAGUGACGGUACCUGCAGAAGAAGCACCGGCUAACUACGUG
rnacentral:rRNA from 1 species